AUUGAACGCUGGCGGCAGGCCUAACACAUGCCAGUCGAACGGUAACAGGAAGAAGCUUGCUUCUUUGCUGACGAGUGGCGGACGGGUGAGUAAUGUCUGGGAAACUGCCUGAUGGAGGGGGAUAACUACUGGAAACGGUAGCUAAUACCGCAUAACGUCGCAAGACCAAAGAGGGGGACCUUCGGGCCUCUUGCCAUCGGAUGUGCCCAGAUGGGAUUAGCUAGUAGGUGGGGUAACGGCUCACCUAGGCGACGAUCCCUAGCUGGUCUGAGAGGAUGACCAGCCACACUGGAACUGAGACACGGUCCAGACUCCUACGGGAGGCAGCAGUGGGGAAUAUUGCACAAUGGGCGCAAGCCUGAUGCAGCCAUGCCGCGUGUAUGAAGAAGGCCUUCGGGUUGUAAAGUACUUUCAGCAGGGAGGAAGAGAGGAAAGUGAAUACCUUUGCGCAUUGACGGUACCCACAGAAGAAGCACCGGCUAACUCCGUG
rnacentral:rRNA from 1 species